GGAGGGCCCCAUCAAGCUUAACGGUUACUUGGGAAGAGAAACGCCAUCAUUCCAAAUGUCUCCCCUUCCUCUUACUUCCCCUAGAUUUAUAGACUGAGCAGGAUGUCAUAUGAAGGAGUAAGAAUACAUAAGGGAGAAGAGUGUUGGAACAGAAAAAUG